rnacentral:rRNA from 1 species
GGCUCAGGAUGAACGCUAGCUACAGGCUUAACACAUGCAAGUCGAGGGGAAACGAUAUUGGAAGCUUGCUUCCGAUAGGCGUCGACCGGCGCACGGGUGAGUAACGCGUAUCCAACCUGCCCAUCACUUGGGGAUAACCUUGCGAAAGUAAGACUAAUACCCAAUGACGUCUCUAGAAGACAUCUGAAGGAGAUUAAAGAUUUAUCGGUGAUGGAUGGGGAUGCGUCUGAUUAGCUUGUUGGCGGGGUAACGGCCCACCAAGGCGACGAUCAGUAGGGGUUCUGAGAGGAAGGUCCCCCACAUUGGAACUGAGACACGGUCCAAACUCCUACGGGAGGCAGCAGUGAGGAAUAUUGGUCAAUGGGCGAGAGCCUGAACCAGCCAAGUAGCGUGAAGGAUGACUGCCCUAUGGGUUGUAAACUUCUUUAUAAAGGAAUAAAGUCGGGUAUGGAUACCCGUUUGCAUGUACUUUAUGAAUAAGGAUCGGCUAACUCCGUG